rnacentral:lncRNA from 1 species
CCGCAGCGCCCAGGAAGCUGUGGGCAGGGUGCGCUGGCUUGCUGCGGGGUCACGGCGGCUCUCUGCCAGCGCUGGGGCUGGGGGGGCCGUGGGAGGGCUGCUUGGGGGGGGGCAGGGUACGAUUUCAAAGCCUGGAAAGCUCCCGCUGGGCCGAGCCAGCUCCCGCGCCCGUCUCACCGCAUCCCGUGGGCCGGCGAUUCCCGUGGCCGUUGGGCACCCCGGCCCGAUACGGCCCCGCUGGUACUCUCGAUCCCAUUCUGCCCCCGUCCCCACGGGGCCGUGUCCCGGCGGCCCCCCCGGAGCGUUUCAUCGCCGCGCGUGCGCGGACGCGCCUCGCGCCCCGGCAGGCCUCCCCGCGCCCCGCUGCGUGGGCACGCGCCCUGGGUACGUGCCGUCCGGGCCGCGGAGAACGCACCGAGCCCGGCACACGCCCAGGCCUUGGGGCUCCGCCGGCUCCCUGCCUCACCACGCCUGGCUUGCGACGGCUCGCCCGGGCCUCCCGCCGCGCUGCUCCCGCCGUGCCCCGGGCGCGCGCGGCACCCCCGAGCACCCCGGUGCGGCACCGCGGCUCUCCGUGCCUCGUGUGCGUGGCACGUCGUGCACCGAUGGGUGCCGGAGCCGGGGAGGGGAUGGGUGGCACCGGGAUAGCACCGGGGGGCUGUGCCCUGGAGGGAAAAGCCUCUCGGGGUGCAUCCCCGGGCAGCCAGCAGUCACGGGGACGGCGCUCGCAGCGGGAUGUGGAUCUCCCUGCGGGGCACGGUGCUUGGUGGAGGGGCUGUGGGGUCUUCCCCGUGUCCCCAUCCCAUAGCAAGGGGCAGGUUUUUCCUCCUCUCGCCCCCCAGCAGCCCCCCACCGUAGGCGGGGGUGUGCUGAACGUGCACCCGAGCACGUGCUGCAAGCGUGGGGAGUGCGGGGGCCCUGCGCAGCGCCCUGCUGAGCCCCCGCGGCGCUCUUCUCUCUCCCCGCAGGCUGUACCUGGGAAAUCCCAUGGACCCUCCUGACAUUUUAGGUGUGGACCUGACUGCUGCCAGACCCACCCAGCUUCCAGGAAGGGCUAAAAGUAAGCAGCUUUUCCCCCUGCACCCCCUGCCUCCAGCCCGUCAGCUGCGCAAAGUCCCUUCUCUCUGCGCCGGGAGCUGCGCCCUUUCACCUGGGUGACGGGCAGGAUCUGUCCCUCCGUCCCCUCCGCUCUGUCUCUCUGCUGCCACUCGCUUACUGCAGCCCCGGGUGGCAGGGAGCCGGGGUGACGGCGCGUGCCAGCGGUGUGGGCGGCUCUGCCCAGCCCCGCCAGGCUGGACUCUGCCCCGCUGGCCUUCGGCCGGGCCCCUCGUCCCCUCCCGGGGCAGGGCUCCCCGUUGCGGGGGAGAUCGGCUCGGCACAGUCGGAGCCGCGACGUCCCCGGGCGGGGAGGGAGGUCAGACACAGCGCGAGUGCCACCAACCCCC